ACUAUGACUCUCUUAAGGUAGCC
rnacentral:ncRNA from 4 species